AGAGUUUGAUCCUGGCUCAGGAUGAACGCUGGCGGCGUGCCUAAUACAUGCAAGUCGAGCGAACGGACGAGAAGCUUGCUUCUCUGAUGUUAGCGGCGGACGGGUGAGUAACACGUGGAUAACCUACCUAUAAGACUGGGAUAACUUCGGGAAACCGGAGCUAAUACCGGAUAAUAUUUUGAACCGCAUGGUUCAAAAGUAAAAGACGGUCUUGCUGUCACUUAUAGAUGGAUCCGCGCUGCAUUAGCUAGUUGGUAAGGUAACGGCUUACCAAGGCAACGAUGCAUAGCCGACCUGAGAGGGUGAUCGGCCACACUGGAACUGAGACACGGUCCAGACUCCUACGGGAGGCAGCAGUAGGGAAUCUUCCGCAAUGGGCGAAAGCCUGACGGAGCAACGCCGCGUGAGUGAUGAAGGUCUUCGGAUCGUAAAACUCUGUUAUUAGGGAAGAACAUAUGUGUAAGUAACUGUGCACAUCUUGACGGUACCUAAUCAGAAAGCCACGGCUAACUACGUGCCAGCAGCCGCGGUAAUACGUAGGUGGCAAGCGUUAUCCGGAAUUAUUGGGCGUAAAGCGCGCGUAGGCGGUUUUUUAAGUCUGAUGUGAAAGCCCACGGCUCAACCGUGGAGGGUCAUUGGAAACUGGAAAACUUGAGUGCAGAAGAGGAAAGUGGAAUUCCAUGUGUAGCGGUGAAAUGCGCAGAGAUAUGGAGGAACACCAGUGGCGAAGGCGACUUUCUGGUCUGUAACUGACGCUGAUGUGCGAAAGCGUGGGGAUCAAACAGGAUUAGAUACCCUGGUAGUCCACGCCGUAAACGAUGAGUGCUAAGUGUUAGGGGGUUUCCGCCCCUUAGUGCUGCAGCUAACGCAUUAAGCACUCCGCCUGGGGAGUACGACCGCAAGGUUGAAACUCAAAGGAAUUGACGGGGACCCGCACAAGCGGUGGAGCAUGUGGUUUAAUUCGAAGCAACGCGAAGAACCUUACCAAAUCUUGACAUCCUUUGACAACUCUAGAGAUAGAGC
rnacentral:rRNA from 101 species